AUUGAACGCUGGCGGCAGGCCUAACACAUGCAAGUCGAACGAGCGGCGGACGGGUGAGUAAUGUCUGGGAAACUGCCCGAUGGAGGGGGAUAACUACUGGAAACGGUAGCUAAUACCGCAUACUAUCAGAUGUGCCCAGAUGGGAUUAGCUUGUUGGUGGGGUAACGGCUCACCAAGGCGACGAUCCCUAGCUGGUCUGAGAGGAUGACAGGCCACACUGGAACUGAGACACGGUCCAGACUCCUACGUGAGGCAGCAGUGGGGAAUAUUGCACAAUGGGCGCAAGCCUGAUGCAGACAUGCCGCGUGUAUGAAGAAGGCCUUAGGGUUGUAAAGUACUUUCAGCGGGGAGGCGUUACCCGCAGAAGAAGCACCGGCUAACUCCGUGCCAGCAGCCGCGGUAAUAC
rnacentral:rRNA from 1 species